rnacentral:rRNA from 1 species
AAUAUGAAGGUCAGGCUGAAGACCUUACCCGAUUAGCUGAGAGGUGGUGCAUGGCCGUCGUCAGUUCGUACUGUGAAGCAUCCUGUUAAGUCAGGCAACGAGCGAGACCCACGUCCACAGUUGCCAGCAUACCCUCCGGGGUGAUGGGUACACUGUGGAGACCGCCGCUGCUAAAGCGGAGGAAGGAGUGGGCAACGGUAGGUCAGUAUGCCCCGAAUCUCCCGGGCUACACGCGGGCUACAAUGGUUGGUACAAUGGGCAUCUACCCCCGAAAGGGGAAGGAAAUCUCUUAAAGCCAAUCGUAGUUCGGAUUGAGGGCUGCAACUCGCCCUCAUGAAGCUGGAAUCCGUAGUAAUCGCGUUCAACAGAACGCGGUGAAUACGUCCCUGCUCCUU